UAAUCCUAUCUUCCAAAGCACUUGCAACACCCACCCCCCACCACCACCACCACCGCCACUGCUUGGUAUCGUCCUCAAACUUUAGCUAGGAUCAGAAAAGAAAAUCCUUCCUUGCAGUGGGUGCACUGAAUCAUACACAGAGAGGCACUUGCUUCAAAAAAGAUGAGUUCUGAGCUGCAUGAAGUUUUAAAUGUAAAAUUGUCAACUUUAUCAAGUCCAGGCCCUUAGUGCUCACCUGUUUCACACUCUUUGCAAAGAGAUGGGCUCAGAACAUCAGCAACUGUUGCCUCUCACAGAGAUUCGCUGACUUUCGAGGGGGAAAGUACUUGACAGACUGUUUGAAUUGUGCACAGAAGUUCACAUAUUUCUUUCUGCUCAUUCAUUUCCACCUUCCUCUGUGUUUCACAAUACUGUGUGAUUAGCUCAACUUGCCUACCUUGCAGAUAUAUUUAGCAAGCUGAAUGAUCUAAAUUUGUCCAUGCAAGCCCACAACCCUAACAUUCUGAAUCUCUAUGACAAUGUGGAUGCUUUGAUCAAAAAACCUGAAUUCUGGAAGUUCACAUGUGCAGAUAAAGACUCCAUGUGUUUUCCACUACUCCAUGCAUAUGUCACUGAUGUUGGCACAGGAGAAAUUCAAUAGAGCAAAAUUAAAGAAAUAAUAGUAGAUCAUUUGGCCAACUUGACAUCUGAGGUCAAGUCAUAUUCCCCCAACAUUGAACACAGCUCAGCUCAACUUGACUAGGUAAGACAGACAUUCAUUUUGUCAGAUGUUAGCCACAGUAACCUCUCUGCCAGUCAGCAAGAAAAUCUUCUUGAGCUGGCCUCAGACCGUGGGCUGCGAAUAAAGUUUAAUGACUCCACACUAACCCAGUUCUGGUGUUUAGUACAGAAAGAGCUCACUGACCUUAGGAAUCAUGCUUUGGAUGUUGUUACCUUUUGGGUCAACAUAUCUUUGUGAAGUCUCAUUUUCUACCUUGACUGCCAUCAAGACAAAGAGUAGCAACAGACUCAAUGUAGAGAAAACCUUAAUUGUUGCUGUCGCUUCACUGCCUCCCAGAAUGACAAGGCUCACAAGUGAAAAGCAGACUCAAGUAUCACACUGAAAUGACCCCAGCGCAGUAACAUCCUGCUCCUGGUCCAAUCUAGCCAGUACACCCAGUCCGCCUCUCCCUCAAUGUGAAGAGGACCAUGUACACUUGUGGUAAGCAAGCUAAGAUUUUUCCCAGACACCUUAGUUAAAUGCUCACUGGUUUGGAUUAAAACAUAAAACAAGUUUAUUAACUUCAAAAGAUAGAUUUUAAGUGAUUAUAAGGGAUAGCAAACGGAUCAAAGCUGAUUACCUAGCAAAUAAACAAAAGACAGAAACUAAGCUUAAUAUACUACAUAGAUUGGAUAUGAAUUGCAAAUCCUCACCCUAGUGAUGAUACAAGCAGGUUGCAUAUUCUUAAGGGGGCAAGCUGCACUAACUUACAGCUUGGAAUCCCCAGGUGUUCUACUCACAGGCUAAAAAUUCCUCUAACCUGGAUCCAGCACUUGCCCCAGUUCAGUCUUUGUUCCUCAGGUGUUUCCAGGAGUCUCUUUGGCAGGGGAGUCAGUGAAAAACCUCAAUUAUGUCACUCCCCUGCCUGAAAUAGCCUUUGCAUAUGGCAGGAACCUUUUGUUUCCAAGCUUGGUUCCCAUACCAGCCAUGCUGAUAUCCCAAGAUGAAGUCCAGUCCCAGGUGACCUGGUCACAUGUUCCUGUAGUGUCACAGCAGCCAUGAAUCGGAGGCCUUUUGUAGCAUACUCAGGAAGGCCCCUCAGUGGGAGAUAAGUUUCUUCUAAGACCUAUUUUUUUCUCCUAAUGGCUCAUUAACCUGAAUGGGCCCUUCCCCGCCAGCCAUCUAGACAGAGCGCCUUUUGCCUAGUGGGUGUUUCCCAGGGGAAAACACAUUUGUAACACAGAUACAUAGUCAAUAUUCCUAACUUCAGAUACAAAAAUGAUACAUGUAUGCAAAUAGGGUAAUCAUGUUCAGUAAAUCAUAACCUUUUCAAUGCUAUCUCACAACCUAUCUUGCAUAAAAUACAUCAUAAUUAUGCCAUAAUCAUAUCAUAAUAUCUCUGUGAAGAAUAUGGGGUGCAGCGUCACAAGGGGGAAUAGCAGUAGCCUUAUCCCUGAUAAAAAUGUGUAAUCAACUGUUUUACAUAAAAUGGCUUAAACAAAACCUUCAUUUUGUCUACAUGGGGUGUAUUAGCUAAUUUUACAUAGUUAGAUUUCUUUUAAGUUAGGCUGUAUGUAUUGCGUGUUUGGUAUAAAACAAUCCUGAACAACAAAUAUGAAUGUGUGUGUGAAUGGGUGAUUUAUCUAUAAAAUACGUAGUGAGGUGGAGUGGCCUCCCUCCCAGGCUGACAGGGAGGAACCACGCCCCACCCUCUCGUGGGUGGAGCUCGGCCGGGUCUGCCCCUCAUGCUGGAAGCAGAGGGAGGGAACAGGAAGUAUAAGAGGCAGGACCUCCAGCUAAGUUGAGCCAGAAUCAGGGAAGGAGCUGGACGCCUCUGCUUUGCUGCUGGCCCCUGCACCAGGGACCGAGCUGUGCCAACCUCUGCCCGUGGAGCAGGACCCAGAGGAAGAGGAGCUGCUAAGACUGCUGUUGGCCGAGUACCCCGAGGAGCUGCUGGGGCUGCUGGGUGCCGUGUACCCAAAGGAGACUGAGGACCCAGGAGCAACGAGACCCUGCAAAGAGAUCUUCCUUGUCAAAGUUUUCCAGCAUGUCAUCAGAAAAUACUGGAGAAUGGUCGGAGGCCUUGCGUGCAACCCCACAAAUCCAAGAAAUUACUAACAAGGUGAAGCCACAGCUGGAAGAAAAAGUGCAUAAGGAAUAUACAGUCUUUGAAGCUGUAAUAUAUAGACAGCUGAAGCUGUGUGGUGAAACACACUACCUCAUUAAGGUCUCCGUCAGGAAGAUGCCUGAUGAGUGUGUACACUUGUACGUGGUACAAGCCUUAACUCAUGUCCUACUGGAGCCAGAACUCAUCAAGUAUCAGCUG